UGAACUGGUUGAGAAAAGUGGAAGCUUGUGGAAAAGCGAUUUGAGAAGUUUGUAAGAAAAUCCUAAAUUAUCAGUCUUGUGGGAAGAAGGCAUUUCGUCUCCACGCAGAGGACCCUAAUCACAUAAAGAAUAUAAGAACCAUCAAGACCAACCAGGUUUGACCGGGUUCUUCAAAAGCAACACCUGCAGUCGAGUCCAUGCCAGACAGUGGGUGCAUGUGAAUGAAUUGCCUUUUGACUAACUUUUGUGUGUUCCUUAUCAAAUACAUGAAGAUUUUCAAA